GAUAUUUUGGCCGAGUGGUUAAGGCGGCGGCCUGAUUAGCCGUUGAGCUUUGCCUGCGAGGGUUCGAAUCCCUGAGGUGUCG